AGCGAACGCUGGCGGCAGGCCUAACACAUGCAAGUCGAAAGAACCUUUCGGGGUUAGUGGCGGACGGGUGAGUAACACGUGGGAACGUGCCUUUAGGUUCGGAAUAACUCAGGGAAACUUGUGCUAAUACCGAAUGUGCCCUUCGGGGGAAAGAUUUAUCGCCUUUAGAGCGGCCCGCGUCUGAUUAGCUAGUUGGUUGAGGUAAUGGCUCACCAAGGCGACGAUCAGUAGCUGGUCUGAGAGGAUGAUCAGCCACAUUGGGACUGAGACACGGCCCAAACUCCUACGGGAGGCAGCAGUGGGGAAUCUUGCGCAAUGGGCGAAAGCCUGACGCAGCCAUGCCGCGUGAAUGAUGAAGGUCUUAGGAUUGUAAAAUUCUUUCACCGGGGACGAUAAUGACGGUACCCGGAGAAGAAGCCCCGGCUAACUUCGUG
rnacentral:rRNA from 1 species